UUGAAGCCACCUAAACGGCCAUGUGCCCAUCAGCGCCGAGGCACCCCGCAGGAUGCCGUGCUUCUCCUAUGUCCCCGACUGAAGCAAGUUUAGCUUCGGCAACAGAGUUCUUCCCAGAGGCACCAAAGACUCCUCAUGUGCGCAUCUUGCUCUAACAGUAUCUCACCAUUUACACAUCGGCUCAACCAGACCUGAUUUUUCUCAAACCCGUAACUGUUGGCACC
rnacentral:lncRNA from 1 species